rnacentral:rRNA from 1 species
GAUGAACGCUGGCGGCGUGCCUAAUACAUGCAAGUAGAACGCUGAAGGAAGGAGCUUGCUCUUUCCGGAUGAGUUGCGAACGGGUGAGUAACGCGUAGGUAACCUGCCUGGUAGCGGGGGAUAACUAUUGGAAACGAUAGCUAAUACCGCAUAACAGUAGAUGUUGCAUGAUAUCUACUUAAAAGGUGCAAUUGCACCACUACCAGAUGGACCUGCGUUGUAUUAGUAGUUGGUGGGGUAACGGCUCACCAAGGCGACGAUACAUAGCCGACCUGAGAGGGUGAUCGGCCACACCGGGACUGAGACACGGCCCAGACUCCUACGGGAGGCAGCAGUAGGGAAUCUUCGGCAAUGGACGGAAGUCUGACCGAGC